UGUGGAUGGUUGCUGAGCUGCGCAUUCGGCAUUGGGCUUGCUUUGUUUCCUGCCAGGCCCAGCAUUUUCUUCUACCAGAUCGGCAGGCUUGUGGGCUUCUUCCUAGGUCCCUCCCCUGCACUCUGAAUAGGAAAGCUGGAAGCUGUGCUUUAGAGAAGCUUUAAGACGCCGAAAGAAACCAGAAGAAAAGCAUUUUGACUUGUUGAUGUCAAUUUGGAACAGCUGAAAAAAUACAGGAAAAUAAGAUAAAUACGUACAUGUUGAGGGUGGGGACAAAAUGAAGGUUCUGAACCAGCUGCCGGCUUACAGUAGCCAUAUAAGCAACAGCAGCAAUGCACCAACCUGGUGGCAUGGAAUAUUCACAUGGGAGAGCCGCAUGAGGCCGCCCACCACGCUUCCUGAAGGAUGCCCGUGUGGAAGAAUUUUGACGUGCCAGUGUCCUCGUUCUACAGGGUGUUCCAUUCUUCCGCAAUCUCAGAAAAAUGGGACUAAAAGAAACUAUUUUGUAAAAUAAGAAGACUUCCAUUU
rnacentral:lncRNA from 1 species